CUGGAACAUUUUGAAAAAAGUUAAAAUUGAGUUAUCUUAAUGUAGUCAACUCCUAUAUUUUUAUUAAAAAAAAAACAAAGACAAAACUUUCAAAGAAAACAGUCAAACUUGUAGAUUUAGGAAGGAGAAACAGACUGUUUGGGGAAUUUCAAUCAGCCACUGAAUUAAUAAGUAUACUUUUUUCCAUUUUCAAACUAUCUUUGAGUUGUGUAAACAGUGAAUGCUUCUAUGCUGUGCCCUUGAACUAAAUCCUUUUAGUUUUCAGAAAGAGACAUUUAGAAGAAAAUGACACAAAAAUUUCUUCCUCAAACCACCUUGUUGAAGUUUCUCUAGGGAGCAAAGUAGAUGAUUUGUAAAUUCCUUUACUCUUAAAAUAAAAGGCAUUUUCCUAAAAGAAAAGGUGAUGGCCAAAGACAGACUGUUACACACACCGACACCUACUCAGGAGGGAAAACAGGCUGAAGUAAAAUGCCAUUUAUCCUCUUCUUCACGGGGCUCAACUGUCUUACAUUCAAAAGCACCCUGAGAGGAAGCCAGCAUUCAUAAGUAAAAAUAAAAGCCCUUUUUACAGCAGUUUUAAAGAGUUGCAGGAAUUAAGAAUUUCCCAGUGUGGUGGUGCCAUCUUGGAUCUGUACAACUUGGUAGACUGUUUUUAGGAUACCCAGCAUCCUCUGCUCUCACAGCAGUCCCAUGGAAGGAGGGACCACAGGAUUCUUACCUCUAUUUACCACUGAAAAAACCAAGGCAGAGAGUGGUCACAGAGCUGGCUCAGUGGUGCUCAGUGAGAAGGCAGAGCCAAGAAAGACCUGGAGCCAGGUCUGUCAAGUUUGCCUGGGCAUCUUCUUCCUGCCACUCCCCAACUGUCCCACCAACUGUCACCCUGCUGGGCUGAAGAAUUUCUUGAAGAUGCAGAGCACACAGUUAUGGAGGGCCGGUUGUGUACAAUGCCCUGGAGCUGUCCCCAAGAUUCCAAAUUAUGAGAACCAAGAGCAGAAUUAA
rnacentral:lncRNA from 1 species